UGCAUCUGUAGACAGUUGGACAUGACUCCGCAACAGAGCAUUUGAAGCUCACCAUCACCCUUUUGCACGGAAAACAUGGUCCACAUGCAUGGGAGCAGUCUGGGAGGCUGGAUCCUGUAGGUGAAUUUCUUUAAAUGGUCUCUUGUUAGCGUGUUGCUAUGGUUCGUCUUGUUCGACGUGCUCUCGAGUAAGCAUCUAUUAUUCAUAUUUUUCCUGUUCUUGUCCCAGUUAGGCUAUCUUUUUCUGUAAAUUUUCUAGCAAAAUGUUUUGAACUAGGUGAAGAAAUGUGGGCUGAGAAAACACACAAUACCUCCUCUUGCCUUAAACUGCCAUCUGUUCUGUGAGCAUCUUCUGCAUUGUAGCUCACUGAAACAUCACACUUAAAAGCUUAAAUGCCAUAUCUAAAUCAGAGAAAGAUAUCGAUGUAGUUAUAGGGAUACAAAUGCGUUUUCUCAACAACUAGAAUGACACAAUAAAUAGAUAAUGUAAAC